UACGUAGGUCCCGAGCGUUGUCCGGAUUUAUUGGGCGUAAAGCGAGCGCAGGUGGUUUAUUAAGUCUGGUGUAAAAGGCAGUGGCUCAACCAUUGUAUGCAUUGGAAACUGGGAGACUUGAGUGCAGAAGAGGAGAGUGGAACUCCAUGCGUAGCGGUGAAAUGCGUAGAUAUAUGGAAGAACACUAGUGGCGAAAGCGGCUCUCUGGUCUGUAACUGACGCUGAGGUUCGAAAGCGUGGGUAGCAAACAGG
rnacentral:rRNA from 1 species